GGACGAACGCUGGCGGCGUGCCUAAUACAUGCAAGUCGAGCGGAUGAAAGAGAGCUUGCUCUCUGGAUUCAGCGGCGGACGGGUGAGUAACACGUGGGCAACCUGCCUGUAAGACUGGGAUAACUCCGGGAAACCGGGGCUAAUACCGGAUAACUUCUUUUCCCGCAUGGGGAGAGGUUGAAAGACGGUUAUGCUGUCACUUACAGAUGGGCCCGCGGCGCAUUAGCUAGUUGGUGGGGUAACGGCCUACCAAGGCGACGAUGCGUAGCCGACCUGAGAGGGUGAUCGGCCACACUGGGACUGAGACACGGCCCAGACUCCUACGGGAGGCAGCAGUAGGGAAUCUUCCGCAAUGGACGAAAGUCUGACGGAGCAACGCCGCGUGAGUGACGAAGGCCUUCGGGUCGUAAAACUCUGUUAUCAGGGAAGAACAAGCAUCGUUUAACUGACGGUGCCAUGACGGUACCUGACCAGAAAGCCACGGCUAACUACGUGCCAGCAGCCGCGGUAAUACGUAGGUGGCAAGCGUUGUCCGGAAUUAUUGGGCGUAAAGCGCGCGCAGGCGGCUUCUUAAGUCUGAUGUGAAAGCCCACGGCUCAACCGUGGAGGGUCAUUGGAAACUGGGAGGCUUGAGUGCAGAAGAGGAGAGCGGAAUUCCACGUGUAGCGGUGAAAUGCGUAGAGAUGUGGAGGAACACCAGUGGCGAAGGCGGCUCUCUGGUCUGUAACUGACGCUGAGGCGCGAAAGCGUGGGUAGCGAACAGGAUUAGAUACCCUGGUAGUCCACGCCGUAAACGAUGAGUGCUAAGUGUUAGGGGGUUUCCGCCCCUUAGUGCUGCAGCAAACGCAUUAAGCACUCCGCCUGGGGAGUACGGCCGCAAGGCUGAAACU
rnacentral:rRNA from 1 species